UUGAAACUAGACAAGCCAAUAGCGUGAACAUGAACACCAGGCCAAUUUCUCUUGACUUCCUGUUUUGGCCUGGGUAUGCGUUCCUUGACUGCUGCAGUACCAAAUGAACUCUGUCCCUCGAAUUCCUCUUGCACUCUAACCUGCUUCUUUAUGUCCUAUUUGCUCGCACCCAACCUUAUUUACAUCAGCUACAGACAUUCAACUCUACGGGAGCCAAACUUAGUGGAACUUUAGGUGUGCCUGGCACCAGUGUCUUCACGCAAGAUCUCCCCUGCCGUGGACUCUUGAUGCUGCAGAAGCAGGUAGACCCAGAUGUGCGUGGAAGACACAUGGGAUUGUAGAGUUGGGGGUGCCUUUGGAAUACACCGGACUCACUCUCCUGAGAAGGAAAUGAGCAUUUGAAGGACCUGUCCAAGUGAGUUGGCUGGUGGUGGCUGUCCCAGAACCACA
rnacentral:sRNA from 1 species